UUGUAUGAUGAUCUCUUGAUUCGCUGUGUUCUUACUGAAUACAUCUUGAAGAAAAACAUCAUUUCACCUUGGAGAACUGAUAC
rfam:Aspergillus fumigatus Af293 chromosome 1, whole genome shotgun sequence.